rnacentral:tRNA from 2 species
UGGGGCGUAGCCAAGUGGUAAGGCAACGGGUUUUGAUCCCGUCAUGCGGUGGUUCGAAUCCACCCGCCCCAGCCA